rnacentral:lncRNA from 1 species
GGGGUGAUCACUUGAUUGGCACAAAAAUUGGAUUUAAGUGAGGGAAGAGUUGCACAAAGUCAUCAGUUUCACUCUCUCUUUCAGAGCCAUCAAAGUCCAGAAGCAAGACAAAGGUUAGGAUAGCUGAUGAUGCCCUGGAAUGUAGUGGAUGAUCUUUGCCUGUGAUGUCUGACAAUGCUCUAAGCUCCCCCUAGUGCCUGCUUCAGCUGCCUUCAAGGCCAUUGAAACUGAAUUAUUCUCAUCUACCCAUUCUUCAAGGGGAAGUCUUCACAUGCUUAAGGUCAUCUACUCACAAGUCUUAUCAUGUUCCCCACUCAACCCCAAACACCUCACUCAAAUGAAGAUAAUUGAUUAUGAUACUCCCUUCCUCUUUUCUUGGAAUCUUCUGGGGCUCUUCGAUGAAAGAAGACUCCAAUUGAAAUUGGCAUUUAAAAGGAAUGGAACAAGUUUUUUCCCCCUUCGAGCUGCUUUUGACCUUCAAGAAAAUGAAAUAAAAUCUUGAUGGAUGAAAAAUAAGAUGGUACCUGGAAUUUCAGUGGCAGAGGAAACUCCCAGAUCUCCUUUAAAGAAAGACUGAAACAGGAUACCGGAUGUUCUUGAUAGGUAGAUGUUAGAUGGAGGACAGCGUCUUGCUUCAUUAUUAUUUUUCUCAUGUGCAUCUCUGAAAAGAAAUAUUAUCUGUUCCUCAUUCCAUACUGUUGGCGACUUCAUUUUUGUAGAGAGAGGAGCACAAGCCUUGAAACACACAUGAACUCUGAAGGCACUCAUGACAGCAUGUCUGGUGUUCCGUGACCUACGCUGAACUCCUUUAAAUAAAGAAUCAUGCCUCCUACCCUGAGAGGUGAGA